AGAGACCGGCGCACGGGUGCGUAACGCGUAUGCAAUCUACCUUUUACAGGGGAAUAGCCCAGAGAAAUUUGGAUUAAUGCCCCAUAGUAUAGUUUUUUCGCAUGAAGAGAUUAUUAAAGUUCCAACGGUAAAAGAUGAGCAUGCGUCCCAUUAGCUAGAUGGUAAGGUAACGGCUUACCAUGGCGACGAUGGGUAGGGGUCCUGAGAGGGAGAUCCCCCACACUGGUACUGAGACACGGACCAGACUCCUACGGGAGGCAGCAGUGAGGAAUAUUGGUCAAUGGACGCAAGUCUGAACCAGCCAUGCCGCGUGCAGGAUGACGGUCCUAUGGAUUGUAAACUGCUUUUGUACGAGAAGAAACACUCCUUCGUGAAGGAGCUUGACGGUAUCGUAAGAAUAAGGAUCGGCUAACUCCGUGCCAGCAGCCGCGGUAAUACGGAGGGUGCAAGCGUUAAUCGGAAUUACUGGGCGUAAAGCGCACGCAGGCGGUUUGUUAAGUCAGAUGUGAAAUCCCCGCGCUUAACGUGGGA
rnacentral:rRNA from 1 species